rnacentral:rRNA from 1 species
GAUGAACGCUGGCGGCGUGCCUAAUACAUGCAAGUCGAGCGAACAGACGAGGAGCUUGCUCCUCUGACGUUAGCGGCGGACGGGUGAGUAACACGUGGAUAACCCACCUAUAAGACUGGGAUAACUUCGGGAAACCGGAGCUAAUACCGGAUAAUAUAUUGAACCGCAUGGUUCAAUAGUGAAAGACGGUUUUGCUGUCACUUAUAGAUGGAUACGCGCCGCAUUAGCUAGUUGGUAAGGUAACGGCUUACCAAGGCAACGAGGCGUAGCCGAAGUGAGAGGGGGGUAGGCCGCAUGAGAGGUUGAACGGGCACAAUGCUCCUGCGGGAGGGACCAGUAGGCAACGGUCCGCAGUGGUGGAGAGCCUGGCGGAGCGGGGCCGAGUGAGUGAUGAAGGCGUUGGGUGCGGAAAGCUGGGUUAUGGGGGAAAAACAAAUUUGGAAGGAGCUGUACACUGCGUGACGGUACUUAAUCAGAAAGCCACGGCUAACUACGUG